ACAUGCCUAUAGCAUAACAUUAAUGCAUUAAAUCCCAUUAGGACUUUGCAGUUAAGCACACUCACGCUAGAGUAUUACUGUGAUGGGUGACCAUCUCAGAAGUCUUAGUGUUUGACAUUCC
rnacentral:rRNA from 1 species